rnacentral:piRNA from 1 species
GGAGAUGAUGAACUGACUCAGCCUGACC